AGAACUCUGUUCUGUGAGUUGCCAUGGAAGCCUUUCUCUCGGAGAGGAUGGCCCUAGUUCUUUCAUCUUAAGCAAUCUGCAGGCCCAUCUCCUUCGCUUAUCCUUGUUGCAGCGAACAAGAGAUCGAAGCAGUUCAGGUUAGAAUUUGUUUGGGCAUGUGAAGAAUUGCAUGGGGUUAGUUGUAUCAGUUGGUCGGUUUGAUGUUCGUGCAAGAUAAAACGAGGUUCUUGAGAUUCGAGUCUUCACCUGGAAUAGAAGAUGUAACACGAUUUUGAAGGGGAAGCCAUAUCAAGUGGCCUUUUUUCCCCAAUAGUGGAGAGGCCAUCAAAUGAAGGGCAAAUCCAAGUGCAAAAAUACAUUAUUGGUGGAGGUGGGGAAAUCCCUAAUGUGCAAAAGAAAGCAUGUCUUUGAAGGAGAUAGACAGCUGUUGGCCCCCCUAUUUCUGCUCUAUAAUAUUCAUAUAAUAUAAUUUAUUCUACUACUAUAAGUUAAUUUCAUGAAGUUGAGAUUUUUAA